GGGUUGUGAGGUUAAGCGACUAAGCGUACACGGUGGAUGCCCUGGCAGUCAGAGGCGAUGAAGGACGUGCUAAUCUGCGAAAAGCGUCGGUAAGGUGAUAUGAACCGUUAUAACCGGCGAUGUCCGAAUGGGGAAACCCAGUGCAAUUCGUUGCACUAUCGUUAACUGAAUACAUAGGUUAACGAGGCGAACCGGGGGAACUGAAACAUCUAAGUACCCCGAGGAAAAGAAAUCAACCGAGAUUCCCCCAGUAGCGGCGAGCGAACGGGGAGCAGCCCAGAGUCUGAAUCAGCUUGUGUGUUAGUGGAACGGUCUGGAAAGUCCGACGGUACAGGGUGAUAGUCCCGUACACCAAAAUGCACAGGUUGUGAACUCGAAGAGUAGGGCGGGACACGUGGUAUCCUGUCUGAAUAUGGGGGGACCAUCCUCCAAGGCUAAAUACUCCUGACUGACCGAUAGUGAACCAGUACCGUGAGGGAAAGGCGAAAAGAACCCCGGCGAGGGGAGUGAAAAAGAACCUGAAACCGUGUACGUACAAGCAGUGGGAGCACCUUCGGGUGUGACUGCGUACCUUUUGUAUAAUGGGUCAGCGACUUAUAUUCUGUAGCAAGGUUAACCGUAUAGGGGAGCCGCAGGGAAACCGAGUCUUAACUGGGCGUUAAGUUGCAGGGUAUAGACCCGAAACCCGGUGAUCUAGCCAUGGGCAGGUUGAAGGUUGGGUAACACUAACUGGAGGACCGAACCGACUAAUGUUGAAAAAUUAGCGGAUGACUUGUGGCUGGGGGUGAAAGGCCAAUCAAACCGGGAGAUAGCUGGUUCUCCCCGAAAGCUAUUUAGGUAGCGCCUCGUGAACUCAUCUUCGGGGGUAGAGCACUGUUUCGGCUAGGGGGUCAUCCCGACUUACCAACCCGAUGCAAACUACGAAUACCGAAGAAUGUUAUCACGGGAGACACACGGCGGGUGCUAACGUCCGUCGUGAAGAGGGAAACAACCCAGACCGCCAGCUAAGGUCCCAAAGUCAUGGUUAAGUGGGAAACGAUGUGGGAAGGCACAGACAGCCAGGAUGUUGGCUUAGAAGCAGCCAUCAUUUAAAGAAAGCGUAAUAGCUCACUGGUCGAGUCGGCCUGCGCGGAAGAUGUAACGGGGCUAAACCAUGCACCGAAGCUGCGGCAGCGACACUAUGUGUUGUUGGGUAGGGGAGCGUUCUGUAAGCCUGCGAAGGUGACCUGUGAGGGUUGCUGGAGGUAUCAGAAGUGCGAAUGCUGACAUAAGUAACGAUAAAGCGGGUGAAAAGCCCGCUCGCCGGAAGACCAAGGGUUCCUGUCCAACGUUAAUCGGGGCAGGGUGAGUCGACCCCUAAGGCGAGGCCGAAAGGCGUAGUCGAUGGGAAACAGGUUAAUAUUCCUGUACUUGGUGUUACUGCGAAGGGGGGACGGAGAAGGCUAUGUUAGCCGGGCGACGGUUGUCCCGGUUUAAGCAUGUAGGCUGGUUGUCCAGGCAAAUCCGGAUAAUCAAGGCUGAGGUGUGAUGACGAGGCACUACGGUGCUGAAGUAACAAAUGCCCUGCUUCCAGGAAAAGCCUCUAAGCAUCAGGUAACAUCAAAUCGUACCCCAAACCGACACAGGUGGUCAGGUAGAGAAUACCAAGGCGCUUGAGAGAACUCGGGUGAAGGAACUAGGCAAAAUGGUGCCGUAACUUCGGGAGAAGGCACGCUGGUGUGUAGGUGAAGCCCCUGCGGGUGGAGCUGAGACCAGUCGAAGAUACCAGCUGGCUGCAACUGUUUAUUAAAAACACAGCACUGUGCAAACACGAAAGUGGACGUAUACGGUGUGACGCCUGCCCGGUGCCGGAAGGUUAAUUGAUGGGGUUAUCCGUAAGGAGAAGCUCUUGAUCGAAGCCCCGGUAAACGGCGGCCGUAACUAUAACGGUCCUAAGGUAGCGAAAUUCCUUGUCGGGUAAGUUCCGACCUGCACGAAUGGCGUAAUGAUGGCCAGGCUGUCUCCACCCGAGACUCAGUGAAAUUGAACUCGCUGUGAAGAUGCAGUGUACCCGCGGCAAGACGGAAAGACCCCGUGAACCUUUACUAUAGCUUGACACUGAACAUUGAGCCUUGAUGUGUAGGAUAGGUGGGAGGCUUUGAAGCGUGGACGCCAGUCUGCGUGGAGCCAACCUUGAAAUACCACCCUUUAAUGUUUGAUGUUCUAACGUUGGCCCCUGACCGGGGUUGCGGACAGUGUCUGGUGGGUAGUUUGACUGGGGCGGUCUCCUCCCAAAGCGUAACGGAGGAGCACGAAGGUUAGCUAAUCCUGGUCGGACAUCAGGAGGUUAGUGCAAUGGCAUAAGCUAGCUUGACUGCGAGCGUGACGGCGCGAGCAGGUGCGAAAGCAGGUCAUAGUGAUCCGGUGGUUCUGAAUGGAAGGGCCAUCGCUCAACGGAUAAAAGGUACUCCGGGGAUAACAGGCUGAUACCGCCCAAGAGUUCAUAUCGACGGCGGUGUUUGGCACCUCGAUGUCGGCUCAUCACAUCCUGGGGCUGAAGUAGGUCCCAAGGGUAUGGCUGUUCGCCAUUUAAAGUGGUACGCGAGCUGGGUUUAGAACGUCGUGAGACAGUUCGGUCCCUAUCUGCCGUGGGCGCUGGAGAAUUGAGGGGGGCUGCUCCUAGUACGAGAGGACCGGAGUGGACGCAUCACUGGUGUUCGGGUUGUCAUGCCAAUGGCACUGCCCGGUAGCUAAAUGCGGAAGAGAUAAGUGCUGAAAGCAUCUAAGCACGAAACUUGCCCCGAGAUGAGUUCUCCCUGAGACUAUAAGUCUCCUGAAGGAACGUUAAAGACGAUGACGUUGAUAGGCCGGGUGUGUAAGCGCAGCGAUGCGUUGAGCUAACCGGUACUAAUGAACCGUGAGGCUUAACCUUACAACGCCGAAG
rnacentral:rRNA from 2 species